rnacentral:rRNA from 1 species
UACAGAGGGUGCAAGCGUUGCUCGGAAUUAUUGGGCGUAAAGGGUAGGUAGGUGGUCUCAUUUGUCCGGGGUGAAAGCCUUGAGCUUAACUCAAGAAGUGCCCCGGAAACGGUGAGACUGGAGUCUUGGAGAGGGUCGUGGAAUUCCCGGUGUAGCGGUGAAAUGCGUAGAGAUCGGGAGGAACACCAGAGGCGAAAGCGGCGACCUGGACAAGUACUGACACUCAACUACGAAAGCGUGGGGAGCAAGCCGG